rnacentral:rRNA from 1 species
UACGUAGGGGGCAAGCGUUGUCCGGAUUCAUUGGGCGUAAAGAGCUCGUAGGCGGUUCGGUAAGUCGGGUGUGAAAUCUCCGUGCUCAACACGGAGCGGCCACCUGAUACUGCCGUGACUCGAGUCCGGUAGGGGAGUGUGGAAUUCCCGGUGUAGCGGUGAAAUGCGCAGAUAUCGGGAGGAACACCAGUAGCGAAGGCGAGUCUCUGGACAUUUCCUGACGCUGAGGCACGAAAGCCAGGGGAGCAAACGGG